rnacentral:rRNA from 1 species
UACGGAGGGAGCUAGCGUUGUUCGGAAUUACUGGGCGUAAAGCGCACGUAGGCGGCUAUUCAAGUCGGGGGUGAAAGCCCGGGGCUCAACCCCGGAACUGCCCUCGAAACUAGAUAGCUAGAAUCUUGGAGAGGCGAGUGGAAUUCCCGGUGUAGCGGUGAAAUGCGCAGAUAUCGGGAAGAACACCCGUGGCGAAGGCGGCUCUCUGGGACGGUACUGACGCUGAGACGCGAAAGCGUGGGGAGCGAACAGG